CACCCAGUCCUCUCUCUCUCUCUAGGUAUGUUAUCCCAGAGGUAAUGACACUGUUGUGUUUCACCCAGUCCUCUCUCUCUCUAGGUAUGUUAUCCCAGAGGUAAUGACACUGUGGUGUUUCACCCAGUCCUCUCUCUCUCUAGGUAUGUUAUCCCAGAGGUAAUGACACUGUUGUGUUUCACCCAGUCCUCUCUCUCUCUAGGUAUGUUAUCCCAGAGGUAAUGACACUGUGGUGUUUCACCCAGUCCUCUCUCUCUCUAGGUAUGUUAUCCCAGAGGUAAUGACACUGUGGUGUUUCACCCAGUCCUCUCUCUC